AGAGUUUGAUCCUGGCUCAGAUUGAACGCUGGCGGCAUGCCUUACACAUGCAAGUCGAACGGCAGCACGGGAGCUUGCUCCGUGGUGGCGAGUGGCGAACGGGUGAGUAAUACAUCGGAACGUACCCUGAAGUGGGGGAUAACGUAGCGAAAGUUACGCUAAUACCGCAUAUUCUGUGAGCAGGAAAGAGGGGGAUCGCAAGACCUCUUGCUUUAGGAGCGGCCGAUGUCGGAUUAGCUAGUUGGUGAGGUAAAGGCUCACCAAGGCGACGAUCCGUAGCGGGUCUGAGAGGAUGAUCCGCCACACUGGGACUGAGACACGGCCCAGACUCCUACGGGAGGCAGCAGUGGGGAAUUUUGGACAAUGGGCGCAAGCCUGAUCCAGCCAUGCCGCGUGAGUGAAGAAGGCCUUCGGGUUGUAAAGCUCUUUCGGUGGGGAAGAAAUGGCACGGGUUAAUACCCUGUGUUGAUGACGGUACCCGCAUAAGAAGCACCGGCUAACUACGUG
rnacentral:rRNA from 1 species